ensembl:lncRNA
CGGUGAGGGCUGCUCCAGGCCGGGUUUGGGAGCUUCUCCAGCGAUUCCCCACAUACAAAACAUCCCAGGGCCACCAGCCUCCCCAGCGCCAGCUGUUUCCACUUCCGGCACAUAUGUUCACUCACGUAAAUUGUUGACUAACUUCACAUCCAGAAUUUUAAACAGAGGAAAACCCGGGGCUGGUCUACACCCACCAGAAGAGCAGAGAUAAGGAGGGGGAAUUUCAACAACAAACAAACGAAAAAGCAGAACGAUGCCAGAGAACCUACGUUUACCCAGGACAGCAGACUUCCCCCGCGUUUAUGGCUUCCUGAACCAGCGCUGCUGCAUCACGGUAGCGAAGCCCGGUGAACCGACUUCUAGGGUGAACUAGAUAAGCGAGAACAGAGAAGCAGAGUGAGCUACGCAACCCAUGGUGGGAGCGACAACAGGACCGCAGUCAAAAGCCUGGCUCACAGCGAAUGGACACUACCGUCAACGGCCUGUAGUGUCAGGAGCUCAGAGUCCCAAGCCAGACCUCCACGGUUGAGUUCCAACUCUGCCACUUGGGAGCUGUGUGACCUGGUGUGAGUUACUUACCCUCUCUGUGCUUCAAUUUUAUCAUCUAUCGAAUGGCGAUCAUAAUAGUACCAACCUCAUGGAGUUGUUGUGGGCUAAAAUGAGUUCGUGUAAAACCCUUAGAACAGUGCCUGGCAUUCACUAACACUAAGAGCUUGCUGUUUUUAUUAUAUAUACACUUGUGAAUUUAAACUAGAAUUUAUUACUCCUCUUCGAUAUUUGCGACAUAGGAUUUCUCAUGGGAUUCUGGUUUGCUAUGCUGUCAGGUGUGACAUGCCUGACGUAUCCUUUGCUAACCUCCAUGAAAAUACUAUUGCUCCACCCUCAUGCCCCCAAAAUAAUACAAGCUUGCAAAUUUCCUGAAUUUAUUAAGUGUAAGGUAAGGCCAUAUACUCAAAGCAGAUGGAAUUUCUACAAACCACAUCAUCAAUACCAGUGAACUGAGUACAUUCUUAGUUCUAUCCUGGGGCUGUGAUCAGGAGAAGGGAAAUGGGUCAGAGGAAGCAAAUAGGAAAGUUUACUGUCUGUCCACAUUAAUUAUAAAAUCAGAAAAAUUAAUAACGUAAAAAUAAUAGUGCAACCAGACAAUUAGGCCAGAUUAAUAUUUGGAAGCGAUUAAUACUUGGAUGUGGGCAAAUUUGACUAUAGAACUUAAGACACAAUUGGGAGUAAGGUUGACUGACAUGGUCGUCCCGUUUUCCUCCAUCUCCUGUGACAUCACAGGGAGGCGGGGUUAACAUGCUGUCCUCAAGGCCCUCUUGGUAGGACGGGUGUCCUCAACCACUGUUACUGCUUAAAUGCAGCAUCUUUGACAAAUAUUUAGUGCUUUGGCUGUUUAAGGAUGGAAGGAAUGUGGCUAGAAGUGUAUUUUCUGUUCAUUUCAGGAAAAGAAAUAGUCUUUCGGAGUUUUAGACCAACUGACAUAACGUAUCUCAACAUUUAACUUGGGUUUGAUGUUGCAAUUUUUAUAUUUCUUCCCACAUGCUUUUGGAAGAGUCUGUCUCCUGCUGGGGGCUUCCAGGAUGACCCUCAUCCCCAGUGUUUCUGACCAUUUUUGUGAAUUUGGUGUUUCUUUGGGAACAAAUCUCUGCUGCAGUCGUAGCUGAGGAUGGCUCAGAUCUGGCCACCAAGGGCACUGUCCUGGGGAGAGACGAGUUCUCGCUUAAAGACAUUGUUCAUAAAAAGUCAACCUACGGAGACAGGCCAACCACGCGCCAGGUACUCGCUCAGCAGUGACUUGAGCAAUGAGCCCAAUGGAGAGAGCGCCUGCCCUUACGGGGCCUGGAUCCUAAUCAGGAAAUCCGAAAUAGACAGGUAUCUGCAUAGCCAACUCUCCAUUAUCCAUGGUGCAGGUCAACUGUGUUCUGCGGGCAUCUCUCCAUCCCCUCAGCCUCCCCUCAGCCUCCUUCCAGCCCCCACAGCGCCCUGUGUUGGAUGUCUACUUGCACAUGCCUCCCCAGAGGGCCAGCCAUCCUGAGAGAGAGGGUAAUGUAAAGGGCUGGGAUGUGGAAGGAAGGAAGACGUAGGGGCUGGUUACCCACCAUCUUGGACUAGUUUCAUUAUUUCUCCUUCCUCCUUGUGGAUAAUUGAAGUGUGAACACAUGUUCUCAACAUGUUACCUCCAAUCUUGCUGAAACGCCCUGGACUACAUAUUAUGUCCAGAUUAAUUUCUUCCCCCAGCCUGAUGUAGAACCAUGAACCGAGAGGUACAUAAUAUGUGAUAUAUUUUACAGUAACAUUCAGCAAACUUGUCUACCAUUGAAAGGUUCAUUUCGAGUUGUGUUAAUCGAAGGCAAGUUGACUCAUUUGUCCACGACAAUGCCCUCAUUUCCCUUUGAGCAAUUAUCAAGUGUGCUUGACGCAGAGCAGCUGACCUUCGAAUACAAGGCUGGGCUGGGGGUGGGGUGGGCCUGGACUGUCAGUGUGGAUUUGGCAGCAUGAGUUGCUCCAAAGAAUCCUGAUUUCUUAUGCGUGAACUCCUGACCCCGGCGCUGGAGCCUGGCGAGCGGGCGGGAAGGAAGGUGAACUCCCGCUGAUUCAGGGUCCCUCCCAGGCGGCCUUUUCCACGGUGUCAGCAGUGUUCACCUCACUUUCCUCUCCUCCCUCUUCCGCCCCCCUAUAAGUCCUGUCCCUGGAAGCACUUCUGAGUUGCCAGGAAUCAUGAACAUUGGGAAACAAUCCAAAAAGCUGGGUGGCUACUUUAUUUUCCGUAGCCCACACGGUCACACGUGGCCCCGGUCUCAGCAUCUGGUCAUAGGUGUGGACACAGCAUGGCCUAAAGGAAGGAACAUGGGACCACAAAGAGGGGCCUUCAGUGACUCAGGUACCAAGCAAGCAUGUGGCUUGGAGGCCAGCCUUUCUUAAGGGCCUGUCUGGGUGAAGACCGAGAAAUGUUCUAUGGUGGUUUCAGAAUUUUCUCCCCUAGCUUCAUUACUUGGAGCGGUGCUUCUCGAUGUUGAAGCUGGAGGUCUGAGGACCACACUUUCAGUAGGAAGAUGACCAGGCCCCACGGCCACGUCGUUUCCAGGAGAUGGUAACAAAACGAGGAGGAAAGGCCCAGAUGUCAACAUGCCUGCCAUUGAGGAUCACAGGAAGUGCCCUUAAAACAAAUAUCAGGUUCUGACCUGGAGAAACAGCUCCUUUCUUUGAUUUCAAAACAUGGCUAAUGUUCCACUGUGCAAGAAUAUUUCGAACAUCCCAAUUGGAAAAAAAAAGGUUCCAAAGGCGAAGUCUAAGCAGCCGCACGAGGACCUGCUGUUACGCUUCCUUAGCUCUCUGGUGCAGGUGGAGCUCAGCUGUCUAUCAAACGAUGAGGAACUCAGUUGUGUGAGCAAACAGCCCUCAUUCACAUUUGACAAAAUCUGCCUAAAGUAAUAAGGUGAUGAAAACUUCCGAACUUCUCUCGAGCUGGACAUCUUCUCCCGAAUGCCUCUGAACCUCUCCUGCGAAUGCAGUUCCGUGGAUGCAGAAGCUGUUUGCAGAUUCCCUCUGCUAGUGUCCUUGGUCAGUCAAAGGCACCCCCAUAGAAGUCCCGUGCGAGUGCGUGCAGCCGUCACUGGUAAAGCCAGCAGCUGGGUAGCACUUCUUUUCACACUUCACAUCCUUGAGCUUAUCCUUGGAUUUGCGUGGGUGGCACCUGUUUGCACAGCCUACCCUCAUCUGAGAUUCUGCCUCCUCUACUGGGCAGGUUGAAGCCUUUUCUUGCCCCCUAUAAAGCAACAGCUCAUUCCUGAGUUGUGUGUGUCAAGCUGGUAUGUCUACUCUUCUCAUUAAAAGGUUCACUGGAACUAACCAAUAAGAUCACCCUUUGAAAUAUUUUCUGCGCUCUACUUUUAGAAGAAAGAGCCAGAUCAUCUAAAGGAAGCAAACUGGUAUCAUGGCUUUUGAGAAAAUGAACAAACAACAAAACAUGUUCCAGAAUGUGUUGGGUCCAACACACAGUUACCCAGUUUCUUGCACUUUCUACAUUAACAUGUACUCACUAAUCCUACCUGAUUGUUUAGAAUAAACAGUUAUUCUGGAGCCCCUCAUUAAACGCUCGAAAAAGAGCAUAGGUUCAAUAUUUUACCCCAAAGCAGGAAAUCAAACCAUGUUUUUAGAAAGUAAAUAUCAACUGACAGAAUGAAUGACAAAGAAAGAGAGAGAGGGAUUGACUGGCC